AUUGGACGCUGGCGGCAUGCUUUACACAUGCAAGUCGAACGGUAACAGGUUAAGCUGACGAGUGGCGAACGGGUGAGUAAUGCAUCGGAACGUGCCCGGUCGUGGGGGAUAACGCAGCGAAAGCUGCGCUAAUACCGCAUACGAUCUGAGGAUGAAAGCGGGGGACCGUAAGGCCCCGCGCGAUCGGAGCGGCCGAUGUCAGAUUAGGUAGUUGGUGGGGUAAAGGCUCACCAAGCCAACGAUCUGUAGCUGGUCUGAGAGGACGACCAGCCACACUGGGACUGAGACACGGCCCAGACUCCUACGGGAGGCAGCAGUGGGGAAUUUUGGACAAUGGGCGAAAGCCUGAUCCAGCAAUGCCGCGUGCAGGAAGAAGGCCUUCGGGUUGUAAACUGCUUUUGUACGGAGCGAAAAGGUCUCCUCUAAUACAGGGGGCUCAUGACGGUACCGUAAGAAUAAGCACCGGCUAACUACGUGCCAGCCGCCGCAGUAA
rnacentral:rRNA from 1 species